rnacentral:rRNA from 1 species
UACGUAGGGUGCAAGCGUUGUCCGGAAUUAUUGGGCGUAAAGAGCUCGUAGGCGGUUUGUCGCGUCUGCUGUGAAAACCCGAGGCUCAACCUCGGGCCUGCAGUGGGUACGGGCAGACUAGAGUGCGGUAGGGGAGAUUGGAAUUCCUGGUGUAGCGGUGAAAUGCGCAGAUAUCAGGAAGAACACCCGUGGCGAAGGCGGCUCUCUGGGACGGUACUGACGCUGAGACGCGAAAGCGUGGGGAGCGAACAGG